rnacentral:rRNA from 1 species
UUGUCUUUUAAUUAAAGACUAGAACGAAAGGUUAUACUUUUAAAUNUCUGUUUUAAAAAUUAAAUUUAAAUUUAUUUUAAAUAUUAAAAAAUAUUUAUAUAAAAAAUAGACGAUAAGACCCUUUCGAACUUCACUUAAGUUCAACUGGGGUAGUUAAUUAAUUUAUAUUUUAAUAUAAAUAAAAUUUAAAAAGAUCCUAUUAAUAAGAUUAUUUGAUCAAGUUACCGAAGGGAUAACAGCGUAAUAAUUUUUUAAAGAUCUUAUUAAAAAUUUUGAUUGCGACCUCGAUGUUGAAUUAAUAUUCUUAUAUGUGCAAUAACNUAAUUAAGAAA